rnacentral:rRNA from 1 species
UACGUAGGCAGCGAGCGUUGUUCGGAGUUACUGGGCGUAAAGCGUGCGUAGGCGGUGUCUUAAGUUUGUUGUGAAAUCUCCCGGCUUAACCGGGAGGGUGCGGCGAAUACUGAGAUGCUGGAGUGCCGGAGAGGUAAGCGGAAUUCCUGGUGUAGCGGUGAAAUGCGUAGAUAUCAGGAGGAACACCUGCGGUGUAGACGGCUUACUGGACGGUAACUGACGCUCAUGCACGAAAGCGUGGGGAGCAAACAGG